UGCGUAGGGGGCAAGCGUUGUCCGGAAUCAUUGGGCGUAAAGAGCGUGUAGGCGGCCCGAUAAGUCCGCUGUGAAAGUCCAGGGCUCAACCCUGGGAUGCCGGUGGAUACUGUCGGGCUCGAGUCCGGAAGAGGAGUGUGGAAUUCCCGGUGUAGCGGUGAAAUGCGCAGAUAUCAGGAGGAAUACCGGUGGCGAAAGCGACUCUCUGGACGGUAACUGACGCUGAGGCACGAAAGCGUGGGGAGCAAACAGG
rnacentral:rRNA from 1 species